UACGUAGGGUGCGAGCGUUGUCCGGAAUUAUUGGGCGUAAAGCGCACGUAGGCGGAUUGUUAAGUCAGGGGUGAAAUCCUGGAGCUCAACUCCAGAACUGCCUUUGAUACUGGCGAUCUUGAGUCCGGGAGAGGUGAGUGGAACUGCGAGUGUAGAGGUGAAAUUCGUAGAUAUUCGCAAGAACACCAGUGGCGAAGGCGGCUCACUGGCCCGGUACUGACGCUGAGGCACGAAAGCGUGGGGAGCAAACAGGG
rnacentral:rRNA from 1 species